UACGUAGGGACCAAGCGUUGUUCGGAUUUACUGGGCGUAAAGGGCGCGUAGGCGGCGUGGUUAGUCACUUGUGAAAUCUCUGAGCUUAACUCAGAACGGGCAAGUGAUACUGCUGUGCUAGAGUGCAGAAGAGGCAAUCGGAAUUCUUGGUGUAGCGGUGAAAUGCGUAGAGAUCAAGAGGAACACCUGAGGUGAAGACGG
rnacentral:rRNA from 1 species